GAUCAUGGCUCAGGAUGAACGCUGGCGGCGUGCUUAACACAUGCAAGUCGAACGAAGCACUUUAAUUGAUUUCUUCGGAAUGAAGUUUUUGUGACUGAGUGGCGGACGGGUGAGUAACGCGUGGGUAACCUGCCUAAUACAGGGGAGUAACAGUUGGAAACGAACUGCUAAUACCGCAUAAGCGCACAGGAUUGCAUGAUCCAGUGUGAAAAACUACCGGUGGUAUGAGAUGGACCCGCG
rnacentral:rRNA from 1 species